UCAGAAAACUGGCUUACAUUUGUUUUCCUGUUGGGAGACUGUGGAUAACCCAGAGAUGGGGGCUGUUGGCUUUGUAAGCCCUUGCUUGGAAAGUCUGACUCCAACGUGUUAUUCAGGAAAACCUUGGCUUUGUCAGCAAUGACAGGGAUGCUGAUGCAUCAUAAUAUACUUUUUCUUAAACAAGAGGACACCGGGGACUUGGAACAAGAUACUUUAGUAAAAACUCUGCAAGCCCUGUGCAAGCGCUGCCAUCUCCAGCCUUUGGGAAAACUACUCUACUUGUCUGCUGCUGCCACCGACAGCUGUGUCAGCCCCAAUCCAUCUCAGAGAUGCAUCUUCCAGGGGCAAGGCCAGCCUGGCGUUCUCUGCGGCAGGGCCAUGCUGCAGCCAUCGCUGCCCAUGAACAGCCGUUCCUGUGAUGUGCUCGCUCCUCUGGACCAAAUUUGCAGAUGAUGGCACCUCAUCCAUUCUCAUCUCUGGGGAUUUCGGCUGCAGCCACGGUUGGUGCUACAGUCCACGCAUCUCAACUCCCUCUAGGACAGAAGUAACUAAAGGGGAAACCUUGAAGAGCCUCAUGGACGUUCUGCAGGAUGGUAAUGCAAAACGUGUCCACGCAGGACACAGCAGCUCCAUGUUUCGCUGUGACCAUGCUCUUCAUGCUACUAUUGAUGCUCUUUGGUUAAAAGUCUACAGGAAACAUGAUAAAAAGAAAAAAAAAAAACUAGAAAAUGUCACGAUGACAAGAAAACCUCCUCCAUCUCCACCACCAUCAGUUUUGACACUCCAACCCAGAUAUUUCUGUAUUUUAUGUGUUUAUGAGUCUACUCAGCUGGCAACAGCACCAAAAGAGCUGGUCUUAGUAUUUCAGACUGCUGCUGCAAAAAAUUAAAAUAAGACUCUUGAACAGUUAGUAAAUGGAUUUAGUGAAAUCUUGGAAGAAUGGUUUUCCGAAAAAGAGUGUUAAAUAUCAACCCAGAAUCUACCAGCAAAAUGAUGAAAACAUUGCACAAGCCUAAGAAGGUGGAACAUCGAGCUGUAGACAAAGUCACCUUGGGAAUGAUGGACACGUUAUAGAGAGAGUCUUAAACAAACUGCAUCUCCCUCUCCAUCCCUCUGGCCACUCAGUCUGGGAGAGAAACUGACA
rnacentral:lncRNA from 1 species